AUUGAACGCUGGCGGCAGGCCUAACACAUGCAAGUCGAGCGGAGCGGCGGACGGGUGAGUAAUGCCUAGGAAUCUGCCUGGUAGUGGGGGAUAACGUCCGGAAACGGGCGCUAAUACCGCAUACUAUCAGAUGAGCCUAGGUGGGAUUGGCUAGUUGGUGGGGUAAAGGCCUACAAAGGCGACGAGCCGUACCUGGUCUGAGAGGAUGAUUAGUCACACGGGAACGUAGACACGGUCCAGACUCCUACGGGAGGAAGCAGUGGGGAAUAUGGGAAAAUGGGCGAAAGCCUGAUCCAGACAUGCCGAGUGUGGGAAGAAGGUCUGCGGAUUGUAAAGCACUUUAAGUUGGGAGGCGUUACCAACAGAAUAAGCACCGGCUAACUACGUGCCAGCAGCCGCGGUAAUUC
rnacentral:rRNA from 1 species